rnacentral:sRNA from 1 species
GCUGGGCGCGGUGGUGCACGCCUGUAAUCCCAGUGGCUCAGGAGGCGAAGGCAGGAGGAUUGAGUACAAAGCCAGACUCAGCAACUUAGCAAGGCACUAAGCAACUCAGUGAGACCCUGUCUCUA